AAAGAGUUUCCGCCUCGACUCCGUUUUGCGGAAGUGUUAGAAAAGUUAAAACACAAUGUUUAUGUUUUAUCACUGAAAAUGUCUUUAAAGCAGAAGAUAUUAAUGUAACACAACAGGGCCGGUGAAUAAAGGAGUGUAAUCCACUGAGAUCAGACACUUCAGGACUUAACUGCUAGUUUGUGGAUACUAAUAUUGAAAGAUGGAGCCUGAUGAUCCGGACACUGAUAACUUGUCCCCACUCUCUAAAAAACACUUACCUAAUAUAUCUUGUAAACUCCAGGAAGAGAGAUCAGAAUCAGCAGCACCCAGCUGUGUCUCCAUGAAGAGUGAUGUGUCUAUGGAUCGUCCUAUUAAGUUUAAAGCAGUAGACUCCUCACCUCUACACAGGUAAC